AGUUAAUGAACUUGAAUAAGUGUAUAUUUUGAAAAUAUGACAUAUUAGUAAAAUCUCUUAUUAACUU
rnacentral:tRNA from 1 species